rnacentral:rRNA from 1 species
AGAAUCAACGCUGGCGGCGUGCCUAACACAUGCAAGUCGAACGAGAAAGUGGAGCAAUCCAUGAGUAAAGUGGCGACCGGGUGAGUAACACGUGACUAACCUACCUUCAAGUGGGGGAUAACCUCGGGAAACCGGGGCUAAUACCGCAUAACAUCUUUGGAGUGGAAAUUCUGGAGAUCAAAGGAGCAAUUCGCUGGAAGAGGGGGUCGCGGCUGAUUAGCUAGUUGGCGGGGUAAUGGCCCACCAAGGCUUUGAUCGGUAGCCGGCCUGAGAGGGCGCACGGCCACACUGGAACUGAAACACGGUCCAGACUCCUACGGGAGGCAGCAGUGGGGAAUUUUGCGCAAUGGGGGAAACCCUGACGCAGCAACGCCGCGUGGAGGAUGAAGUCCCUUGGGACGUAAACUCCUUUCGACCGGGAAGAUUAUGACGGUACCGGUGGAAGAAGCCCCGGCUAACUUCGUGCCAGCAGCCGC